UACAGGGGGGGGCAAGCGUUGUUCGGAAUUACUGGGCGUAAAGGGCUCGUAGGUGGCCAACUAAGUCAGACGUGAAAUCCCUCAGCUUAACUGGGGAACUGCGUCUGAUACUGGAUGGCUUGAGUUUGGGAGAGGGAUGCGGAAUUCCAGGUGUAGCGGUGAAAUGCGUAGAUAUCUGGAGGAACACCGGUGGCGAAGGCGGCUUUCUGGUCUGUAACUGACGCUGAGGCGCGAAAGCGUGGGGAGCAAACAGG
rnacentral:rRNA from 1 species